CCGAGUGAGGGCCCCCGGCCCGACCUCCAACCCUUUGUUGACCAACACCUGUUGCCUCGGGGGCGACCCGGCCUCCGCGCCGGGGUCCCCGAUGGACCGCUUAACUCUGUAUCUGACGUCGGAGUACUUUGAUAAAUCAAUCA
rnacentral:misc_RNA from 1 species